rnacentral:rRNA from 1 species
AUUGAACGCUGGCGGCAGGCCUAACACAUGUAAGUCGAACGGUAACAGGAAACAGCUUGCUGUUUCGCUGACGAGUGGCGGACGGGUGAGUAAUGUCUGGGAAACUGCCUGAUGGAGGGGGAUAACUACUGGAAACGGUAGCUAAUACCGCAUAACGUCGCAAGACCAAAGAGGGGGACCUUCGGGCCUCUUGCCAUCGGAUGUGCCCAGAUGGGAUUAGCUAGUAGGUGGGGUAACGGCUCACCUAGGCGACGAUCCCUAGCUGGUCUGAGAGGAUGAGCAGCCACACUGGAACUGAGACACGGUCCAGACUCCUACGGGAGGCAGCAGUGGGGAAUAUUGCACAAUGGGCGCAAGCCUGAUGCAGCCAUGCCGCGUGUAUGAAGAAGGCCUUCGGGUUGUAAAGUACUUUCAGCGGGGAGGAAGGGAGUAAAGUUAAUACCUUUGCUCAUUGACGUUACCCGCAGAAGAAGCACCGGCUAACUCCGUGCCAGCCGCCGCCGUAA